rnacentral:lncRNA from 1 species
CGUAAGUUUCCAGUCGUGACCACAUUUUUGGCAUGUUAUACUGCCAUUUCGCCUUUCAUCCUCUUUAGGCCUAGUUUCCUAAGCACCUCAGGGACAAAACUGUUUAUACGUGUGUGUGUGUCACGGUUUCCACAAGACUCGCAAUCUAUAUUUGGGUUUCCAUUAUCAAGUUAUAACUUUUUGGCCCUCUUCACCUCUCCCAACUCUUCACUGAGCAUUGAGCUCUCUCAACUCUGACUCCCUUUAAUCUAACUAGGGCAUCCUUCCUCCAAGCAUUCUUACUACUACUGACGUUUGGAUUUUAAGAUUCUACAAUGUUUGCUCAACGAAAACUAGCUUCCCCUUCCUUGGUUAUUUUGGCUAGGCAACUUCCACAAACAAGGCUUCCUCCCAGCCAGCAGCCGACACCAGCCAGUCCCCUUCCCCUGCGCGGUGCCCGUAUCUAAGCCCUCAUUCUCUUUCCUAAGAUGGCCGCCACAAAGCCCCGGGAAGGCUUUGGGUGAGUUUCACCCACGCAAGGCCACUAUCAUUCCGGAGACCCCACAAGCAGGGGCUGAAAUAGGAAAAUGGCCCGAGGAAGUGGAACGGGAAGAGUGAGAACUGGCCAAGGCGCCGUGGCCCGGGAAGGCCCGGGAAGGCCCGGGAGGGAGGGUCCCCUUGGCUCCCGCGGAGCCUAGACCAGCGUCAUAGGAAGUGGGGGCCCCACCCCCUAACGUCAGGGGCGGAAGUGAGCGUUGCUGGGCGCCGAUGCGGGGAGAAAGCGGCUGUGGAGGGAACGUGUCUCGACCGAGUGCUUGGAUUCAGCUUCUUCAUUUCCAACAUGGAAGAAACUUACAGUAUGUAUUUCUUACUGUUUUUAGAAAAUAAGUUAAAUUUCUUACAUAUAGUU